rnacentral:tRNA from 1 species
UCCCUCGUAGCUCAAUCGGCAGCAGCGCCCGGCUGUUAACCGGGACAUCCCGGUUCGAGUCCGGGCGAGGGAG